rnacentral:snoRNA from 1 species
GAUCCUGAUGAUCAUCUUUUGUAUCAAUAUACGCUGGAAAUUACCGGCUGAGACUGUUCUCUGAAGAUAUUAAAUGGCUAUUUCUGACU